GACGCCCAGGCCCUGCUGGAAUACCUACCUCACCUACAAUCCCAGCUGACCGUCCAGGAGGAGGAUGUGGCGUUCCUUAGAAGAUUCCUGCGACGUAAGGAAGUACAGGCUACCAUGAAGUCCUAUAAGAGUAUAUCAAUUUUAAGUUAUCGAAAACUUCGCCCAGUGUCCCUGGCAGCCGUCGCUCUUGCAGCAAAUAUUUUCUGUGAUAUUAGAAGAUGCAACGAUGAUUCUAAGUUAUCUGAGGAGUUGAUGGAGAUUUUGUCUAAACCCAGUCUACAGGUAU